rnacentral:rRNA from 1 species
UACGUAGGGGGCUAGCGUUGUCCGGAAUCAUUGGGCGUAAAGAGCGUGUAGGCGGCCCGGUAAGUCCGCUGUGAAAGUCGGGGGCUCAACCCUCGAAUGCCGGUGGAUACUGUCGGGCUAGAGUGCGGAAGAGGCGAGUGGAAUUCCUAGUGUAGAGGUGAAAUUCGUAGAUAUUAAGAAGAACACCAGUGGCGAAGGCGGCUCACUGGCCCGGUACUGACGCUGAGGCGCGAAAGCGUGGGGAGCAAACAGG